rnacentral:rRNA from 1 species
UACGUAGGGUGCGAGCGUUAAUCGGAAUUACUGGGCGUAAAGCGUGCGCAGGCGGUUCGUUAAGACAGAUGUGAAAUCCCCGGGCUUAACCUGGGAACUGCAUUUGUGACUGGCGAGCUAGAGUAUGGCAGAGGGGGGUAGAAUUCCACGUGUAGCAGUGAAAUGCGUAGAGAUGGGGAGGAAUACCGAUGGCGAAGGCAGCCCCCUGGGCCAAUACUGACGCUCAUGCACGAAAGCGUGGGGAGCAAACAGG